rnacentral:rRNA from 1 species
GAUGAACGCUGGCGGCGUGCCUAAUACAUGCAAGUCGAGCGAACGGACGAGAAGCUUGCUUCUCUGAUGUUAGCGGCGGACGGGUGAGUAACACGUGGAUAACCUACCUAUAGGACUGGGAUAACUUCGGGAAACCGGAGCUAAUACCGGAUAAUAUUUUGAACCGCAUGGUUCAAAAGUGAAAGACGGUCUUGCUGUCACUUAUAGAUGGAUCCGCGCUGCAUUAGCUAGUUGGUAAGGUAACGGCUUACCAAGGCAACGAUGCAUAGCCGACCUGAGAGGGUGAUCGGCCACACUGGAACUGAGACACGGUCCAGACUCCUACGGGAGGCAGCAGUAGGGAAUCUUCCGCAAUGGGCGAAAGCCUGACGGAGCAACGCCGCGUGAGUGAUGAAGGUCUUCGGAUCGUAAAACUCUGUUAUUAGGGAAGAACAUAUGUGUAAGUAACUGUGCACAUCUUGACGGUACCUAAUCAGAAAGCCACGGCUAACUACGUGCCAGCAGCCGCGGUAAUACGUAGGUGGCAAGCGUUAUCCGGAAUUAUUGGGCGUAAAGCGCGCGUAGGCGGUUUUUUAAGUCUGAUGUGAAAGCCCACGGCUCAACCGUGGAGGGUCAUUGGAAACUGGAAAACUUGAGUGCAGAAGAGGAAAGUGGAAUUCCAUGUGUAGCGGUGAAAUGCGCAGAGAUAUGGAGGAACACCAGUGGCGAAGGCGACUUUCUGGUCUGUAACUGACGCUGAUGUGCGAAAGCGUGGGGAUCAAACAGGAUUAGAUACCCUGGUAGUCCACGCCGUAAACGAUGAGUGCUAAGUGUUAGGGGGUUUCCGCCCUUUAGUGCUGCAGCUAACGCAUUAAGCACUCCGCCUGGGGAGUACGACCGCAAGGUUGAAACUCAAAGGAAUUGACGGGGACCCGCACAAGCGGUGGAGCAUGUGGUUUAAUUCGAAGCAACGCGAAGAACCUUACCAAAUCUUGACAUCCUUUGACAACUCUAGAGAUAGAGCCUUCCCCUUCGGGGGACAAAGUGACAGGUGGUGCAUGGUUGUCGUCAGCUCGUGUCGUGAGAUGUUGGGUUAAGUCCCGCAACGAGCGCAACCCUUAAGCUUAGUUGCCAUCAUUAAGUUGGGCACUCUAAGUUGACUGCCGGUGACAAACCGGAGGAAGGUGGGGAUGACGUCAAAUCAUCAUGCCCCUUAUGAUUUGGGCUACACACGUGCUACAAUGGACAAUACAAAGGGCAGCGAAACCGCGAGGUCAAGCAAAUCCCAUAAAGUUGUUCUCAGUUCGGAUUGUAGUCUGCAACUCGACUACAUGAAGCUGGAAUCGCUAGUAAUCGUAGAUCAGCAUGCUACGGUGAAUACGUUCCCGGGUCU